CAUUUAUUCGUGUUUGUAGGGGACGUUUCGUUCUACCAACAUAGAAUAAAUUACAAGAACACUUUAAAACGUAUAUGACCCUCUUAGAAAAACACGUGAUCAUUUGGCGUAUCUUGUAUUUCUUCUCCCCUUUUGGGUCAUAGAAUUCUGUAAUGUGCCUUUUUGUGCUUCUACAAGCUAGACACUGUCCACAGCCAAAAAAACCUUCUUUCUGAAAAAAGGGAGUAGGUGUAUUUUCUUUAAUAUGGUUGUGUGUCAGUUUUCGUUUUAAGUUGGGAGCUCCUCUAUAUACUAAUUUCGGUCUCUCUGGUAAUAUAGAGUGUAGCAUAGGAUCGUUCCUUAGCAUGGG